rfam:Schistosoma haematobium scaffold530_1, whole genome shotgun sequence.
GCACUGUUGAGAAGUCCCAUAAUAGGACGAAACGGCCGUUCAGUGC